GCAGUAAGGAAUAUUGGUCAAUGGAGGCAACUCUGAACCAGCCAUGCCGCGUGCAGGAAGACUGCCCUAUGGGUUGUAAACUGCUUUUAUCCGGGAAUAAACCUAUUUACGUGUAAAUAGCUGAAUGUACCGGAAGAAUAAGGAUCGGCUAACUCCGUGCCAGCAGCCGCGGUAAUACGGAGGAUCCAAGCGUUAUCCGGAUUUAUUGGGUUUAAAGGGUGCGUAGGCGGCCUGUUAAGUCAGGGGUGAAAGACGGUAGCUCAACUAUCGCAGUGCCCUUGAUACUGAUGGGCUUGAAUGAACUAGAGGUAGGCGGAAUGAGACAAGUAGCGGUGAAAUGCAUAGAUAUGUCUCAGAACACCGAUUGCGAAGGCAGCUUACUAUGGUUUAAUUGACGCUGAGGCACGAAAGCGUGGGGAUCAAACAGGAUUAGA
rnacentral:rRNA from 1 species